rnacentral:rRNA from 1 species
AAGUCGAACGCGUUGGCCCAAUUGAUUGAUGGUGCUUGCACCUGAUUGAUUUUGGUCGCCAACGAGUGGCGGACGGGUGAGUAACACGUAGGUAACCUGCCCAGAAGCGGGGGACAACAUUUGGAAACAGAUGCUAAUACCGCAUAACAGCGUUGUUCGCAUGAACAACGCUUAAAAGAUGGCUUCUCGCUAUCACUUCUGGAUGGACCUGCGGUGCAUUAGCUUGUUGGUGGGGUAACGGCCUACCAAGGCGAUGAUGCAUAGCCGAGUUGAGAGACUGAUCGGCCACAAUGGGACUGAGACACGGCCCAUACUCCUACGGGAGGCAGCAGUAGGGAAUCUUCCACAAUGGGCGCAAGCCUGAUGGAGCAACACCGCGUGAGUGAAGAAGGGUUUCGGCUCGUAAAGCUCUGUUGUUAAAGAAGAACACGUAUGAGAGUAACUGUUCAUACGUUGACGGUAUUUAACCAGAAAGUCACGGCUAACUACGUGCCAGCAGCCGCGGUAAUACGUAGGUGGCAAGCGUUAUCCGGAUUUAUUGGGCGUAAAGAGAGUGCAGGCGGUUUUCUAAGUCUGAUGUGAAAGCCUUCGGCUUAACCGGAGAAGUGCAUCGGAAACUGGAUAACUUGAGUGCAGAAGAGGGUAGUGGAACUCCAUGUGUAGCGGUGGAAUGCGUAGAUAUAUGGAAGAACACCAGUGGCGAAGGCGGCUACCUGGUCUGCAACUGACGCUGAGACUCGAAAGCAUGGGUAGCGAACAGGAUUAGAUACCCUGGUAGUCCAUGCCGUAAACGAUGAGUGCUAGGUGUUGGAGGGUUUCCGCCCUUCAGUGCCGGAGCUAACGCAUUAAGCACUCCGCCUGGGGAGUACGACCGCAAGGUUGAAACUCAAAGGAAUUGACGGGGGCCCGCACAAGCGGUGGAGCAUGUGGUUUAAUUCGAAGCUACGCGAAGAACCUUACCAGGUCUUGACAUCUUGCGCCAACCCUAGAGAUAGGGCGUUUCCUUCGGGAACGCAAUGACAGGUGGUGCAUGGUCGUCGUCAGCUCGUGUCGUGAGAUGUUGGGUUAAGUCCCGCAACGAGCGCAACCCUUGUUACUAGUUGCCAGCAUUAAGUUGGGCACUCUAGUGAGACUGCCGGUGACAAACCGGAGGAAGGUGGGGACGACGUCAGAUCAUCAUGCCCCUUAUGACCUGGGCUACACACGUGCUACAAUGGACGGUACAACGAGUCGCGAACUCGCGAGGGCAAGCAAAUCUCUUAAAACCGUUCUCAGUUCGGACUGCAGGCUGCAACUCGCCUGCACGAAGUCGGAAUCGCUAGUAAUCGCGGAUCAGCAUGCCGCGGUGAAUACGUUCCCGGGCCUUGUACACACCGCCCGUCACACCAUGAGAGUUUGUAACACCCAAAGUCGGUGGGGUAACCUUUUAGGAGCCAGCC